GACAGAGGGUGCAAGCGUUGUUCGGAAUCAUUGGGCGUAAAGGGCGCGUUAGGCGGUCAGGUAAGUCAACUGUCGAAAGCCCAGGGCUCAACCUUGGAAGUGCAGCUGAAACUACCUGACUAGAGUCUCGGAGAGGGUGGUGGAAUUCCCAGUGUAGAGGUGAAAUUCGUAGAUAUUGGGAGGAACACCAGUGGCGAAGGCGACCGCCUGGACGAAGACUGACGCUGAGGCGCGAG
rnacentral:rRNA from 1 species